CAAUAGCGUAUAUUAAAGCUGUUGCGGUUAAAAAGCUCGUAGUUGGAUUUCUGUCAAGGACAACUGGUCCGCCCUCCGGGUGAGCACAUAGUUUGGUCUUGGCAUCUUGCUGGAAACUGUUGCUGCGCUUGGUUGUGUGGUGCAGCUUUCAGCACUUUCACUUUGAGGAAAUUGGAGUGUUUCAAGCAGGCACAUGCCUUUGGACACAGUAGCAUGGAAUAAUUAGAUUGGGCUUUUGCUCCAACUUGUUGGUUCCUGGAGCUGAGGUGAGAAUCAAUGGGGAUUGUUGGGGGCAUCCGAAUUUAGCCGUCAGAGGUGAAAUUCUUGGAUCUGCUAAAGACGGACAACUGCGAAAGCGUUUGCCCAGGAUGUUUCCAUUGA
rnacentral:rRNA from 1 species